GUAGGGAAUAUUGGGCAAUGGAUGCAAGUCUGACCCAGCCAUCCCGCGUGCCGGAAGAAGGCCCUCAGGGUUGUAAACGGCUUUUGACGGUGAAGAAUCGACAGGAUGCGUUCUGUUUUGACGGUAGCCGUUGAAUAAGCACCGGCUAACUCCGUGCCAGCAGCCGCGGUAAUACGGAGGGUGCGAGCGUUGUCCGGAUUUAUUGGGUUUAAAGGGUGCGUAGGCUGGAAGGUCAGUCAGCGGUGAAAAGCUAUCGCUUAACGAUAGUCUUGCCGCAGAUACUUCCUUUCUUGGAUGAGGAGGAGGCCACUGGAACGGAUGGUGUAGCGGUGAAAUGCAUAGAUAUCAUCCAGAACACCGAUUGCGAAGGCAGGUGGCUGUACCUUAAUCGACGCUGAUGCACGAAAGCAUGGGGAGCAAACAGGAUUAGAUACCCGGGUAGUCC
rnacentral:rRNA from 1 species